rnacentral:lncRNA from 1 species
AACCAGUUUGGUAUUCAUCAAAAAGUUAAAUAAAUAAACCCGGGGAUACAGCAAAAGGCCCCAUGUGGAGGUGAUAGACUCUUGUAUUUAAGGUAGUACUUUCAGUAGCAGAAAACUCAUAAUUCAUUAUAUGUUUCUCACCAGAGUGUGGCUUUUUCCUGACUAUGGAGUUUCUGUGCACAUCUUGUGCUUCUAGAUGUGAUCAUCAGCUGCAGAUGCGAAGAUAUAUGACCUAUCUUCUGGAAACAACAGGCUGUACCCAUAUUCCUCUGGUUUGGCUGUGUGUUUUAAAAAUCAAGGCAUUUAAUUUUGUGUUACCAUUGGACUCCAUUGUACUCAAUCAAGAAAAAGAAUGCAGCCCUUGAGAAGAGUGAAUAUUAUCCUGAGAGAAGUCAGAUGACUCACCCUCUGAGACAUUAAGUGCUACCCUAUUGUGAAGAGAUUUGAAUGACUGGACAAGUGGGUUAAACAGAGUUUAGACUGUGAAGAAAACUGUGAAUUAAUGGGCUUCAGGUCAAGCAAACAAGUAAUGAAAACAAUUUCUAAGAUAUCUUCUCUUUUUCUUUUAAUGUAAUCUGUCUGUUUGAACAAUGAAAAAUGUGACAGCCUUGUUAUCACAAGGUUCUCAUUUCACAUAAUCAAAGCUUUUUUAGUUCAUUUGCAAAAACAGCUUGAAGGGUUAUGAAAUUGCUGAGGUCUAGAUUGCACAAAACAUUUGCACUGAUGAGAUUUUCUUCAUGUGAACUGCUUGACUGAAGUCAAUGGAAGUCUUCAUACAAACACAUUUCACCAUGCAAAAUACAUUUCAGUCUUUCAGUUCACAUACAGAUUGAUACAAUUGAAUGAAGUGUAUAUGUGAAUUCUUGACUUAUUGAUGACAAUAUAAAUUCCUCUAGACGCUGAUUUAAUUUCUUGUGAUUACUUGAUAUUCUCUUGGCGUAGAAUACUGGAAUGGAAUAUAGGGAUUACAGCCAAUAUCUUUUUCCUUUAAGACAGUAUUGCAUCAUAUCAAUCCAAACAAGGAAUUUCCAAGGUAGUUACUUUCUUAACACUUGAAGAUCACACAUUUCUUGAGAAAUAUUGUACAUUUAUAAUAUUGCUGAUUUUCUUAAGAAACUAGGUGUAGAAAUUAUGACCAUAUUCUCAUGGCCAGUAGUGCAUGAUAUUUUAUCUUUCAUGUUCUACAAUACCUGUCAAGGAGGUUAGAGCUGGAAAUCAUACUUCUGUACUGCUGUAAGAUGGGAAGAUCUCUGGUUCAGAAAAACAGUAAAUUUCCUUCUUCCUUGGAGAUGAUUUAAUUAAAAUAAAUUAAGUCUAAACUGCUAACA